UUAGGUACGUCUUGUUUUACCAUCAUAGCAUUUGUCAAUAUUAACUGUGAAGAAAGGUUUGAUGGAUUGUUAAGGUAAACAAGCUAUUUUUAUAUUCAUGUCAAAAUAUGAGAAGUUGAUGAUUUCAUUUAUAGAGCAUUGAAGCCUUCUGAAAGGCCAACAACAAGUGAGUCAAGUAAACUACGCUCAUGGGUCUCAGUUUUGGGAAAAUUUAAACAUCCAGUCGAGCAUGAUAAAUGCCAUACAUCAUUUGGAAUACGGUUUGAGAAUUCAGCUCGCGUUUUCCCUGCGACCUCUGCGCAAUUCUAGGGAAGUUAAUACAUUUCUACCUCUAGAAUCAUUUCUAGGAACUUUUGGGCAGAGGAACUACUAUGAAAUGGAAAGUUGUUUCAUUCAUAUGGUUCCACCAACUAGAGCUGUGCAGCUCGAUGAUUUUUAGGGAAAAUGUUAGGUUUGUGGAGGAACUGUCAUGAAAUGAAGAGUUGUUUUAGUGAUACGUUAACAUCCACUCCAGGCGUGAAGAUCCUUUUCCAUCGUUACUUAUGGCUAAAUUCGUUCACAAAUGUGUUCAUUUUCAGAAAGUGACUCUUCAGAUGAGACUGAGUGUGAUACUUGUGAUCUAUUGCCGCCCAUGCGGCCUAAGAGAACACCUUAUCCAAGUCUUAGUGCGUUGCAUGCAAGGAGAAAGAGCAAUCCGAAAGUAUUUGAUGGUGUCAACGAAGGACCCUUCUCGAACUACUUGAUAGAUAAUAAGGGAACAAAAAAAGACGCUUAAAAACUUACCAGAAACUUUACCAUCCAUUACUAGGUAUGGUGAGUUAUAAAGGAAAGCAAUGGUUUUUGUUAUUUUAGACCGUUUCAUACAUUGCUAUUUUUUUUAAUUUCGUAUAUCUUUUUUUUUGGUAUAAUUUUAUUUCAGGGGUAUAGGCAAGUUAUUUUAACGUUCACGGAUAGGGCGAGUUGUUACCCUAGCCUGUUAUUGGUACCUGAAAGUUUCGGUGGUAUAUUUUUGUAAAUUGUUACUUUUCGUGAUAACUUUAGGGCGGCCCUUCUCCUAAUUAGGUAUGCUUUGUUUUACCCUAAUGCAUUUGUUAAUAGAAACUGUUAAAUGAUGGUUGAGGUAAACAGGCUUAUUUAUAUUCAUAUCAAAUUACGGGAAGUUAUUGAAUUUGUUUAGAGACUAUGGAAGCUUUCUGAAAGGCCAAAAGCAAAUGAGUCAAGUAAACCUCGCUAUUAGUUAUGGGAAAAAUUAAACAUCUAGUCGAGCAUCGUAAAUACCACGCGGUUUGAGAAUUCAGCUCGCGUUUGCACGUGCAAUUUAAGAGAAAUGUAAUGCAUGUCUACCUCUAUGAUCAUCUCUAGGAAAUUUUGAAUGGUUGUGGCGGAACUACUAUUAGAUGGAAAGUUGUUUCAGUAAUACAGUUUCACCAAGGGGAGAGGGGGGGGGGGAGUUUUCUCAAAUGCAUUCUCUUAAAUGAAAUAAAAGCGGUGUUCUCACAACUCGCAAAGCAAUCUCACGUGAAAACUGUCAGCGAAUUAGGUCCAUUGCAGACGAGCACCAGAUGUUUACAAGGAGAAAGAUGGCGGCUAACUUAGACAAUUGAGGAAUGUCGCCCGGCUGGUUGUUUUUUUGAGGAUCCGAAGACGCUUUCUGUUAUAUAAGGAACAUGAAGCCGGGAUCAAUACUUGUCAAAUUUAUAACUGUCGACUCGGCUAAUUUCUGCAGCGAAAUUGAACUAGUAGGCCUUUGCAUUUUAACAUUCGCAAAACUAAAUUUAUCAGUAAAUAAAGAAGUUUUAAGGAU
rnacentral:lncRNA from 1 species